ensembl:lncRNA
CACUAGUCAGGGAGGGAGGAAGGUCACUAGGCAGGCAAGGAGGAAGGUUACUAGGCAGGCAGGGCAGGGGGACACCACUAGUCAGGGAGGGAGGAAGGUCACUAGGCAGGCAAGGAGGAAGGUUACUAGGCAGGGGGGGGACACCACUAGUCAGGGAGGGAGGAAGUUCACUAGGCAGGCAGGGAUGUACACCACUAGGCAGGUAGGGAGGAAGGUCACUAGGCAGGCAGGGAGGGACACCACUAGGCAGGCAGGGAGGAAGGUCACUAGACUAGGCAGGCAGGGAGGGACACCACUAGGCAGGCAGGGAGGAAGGUCACUAGACUAGGCAGGCAGGGAGGGACACCACUAGUCAGGGAGGGAGACCACUAGGCAGG